AUAAUCCUUGCACUUACCAGCACGGAGGGCUCGCAGCCUGCUUGCACCUGUGGGCAGCUGGGAGAGGCUGUCUGUCCUUCUGAGGCAGGUGGAGAAGUGCUUGCAGACCCCCGAGCUGUGAAGAGGCUCUGCAAUUUGGUGGCACAACAAGCACAUUUCAGGGCUGCUGAAAUCACACUUGAGAAGCCAGCUUGGAGGAACUCGUGUGCACAUGAGGUCUCUGAAUUUGAAUUUCUUCAACACUGUAUAUCUUAGAGUGGAAUUUGGUUCUCAUGUUUCUUCCCUACACACUUUCCU
rnacentral:lncRNA from 1 species